GAUGAACGCUGGCGGCGUGCCUAAUACAUGCAAGUCGAGCGAACAGACGAGGAGCUUGCUCCUUCGACGUUAGCGGCGGACGGGUGAGUAACACGUAGGUAACCUACCUAUAAGACUGGGAUAACUUCGGGAAACCGGAGCUAAUACCGGAUAAUAUUUCGAACCGCAUGGUUCGAUAGUGAAAGAUGGCUUUGCUAUCACUUACAGAUGGACCUGCGCCGUAUUAGCUAGUUGGUAAGGUAACGGCUUACCAAGGCAACGAUACGUAGCCGACCUGAGAGGGUGAUCGGCCACACUGGAACUGAGACACGGUCCAGACUCCUACGGGAGGCAGCAGUAGGGAAUCUUCCGCAAUGGGCGAAAGCCUGACGGAGCAACGCCGCGUGAGUGAUGAAGGUCUUCGGAUCGUAAAACUCUGUUAUUAGGGAAGAACAAACGUGUAAGUAACUGUGCACGUCUUGACGGUACCUAAUCAGAAAGCCACGGCUAACUACGUG
rnacentral:rRNA from 1 species